AUGUUUGCUCCUCAAAAGAGUAAGAGCAAGCCUGUUAACUGCAAAUGUGAAGAGAUGAAGCAAGCAAAAAAGAAAAAGUGUGAAGAGCUUUGCUGCCACAUCAUCCCGGUAUCAGAUAGUUUUGGGAUCAAUGAACAGAUAGUCUUCCUUUGGUGGCAAGAUGACAGUGAGAAUGGAUUGUCAAACUGGACCACUAUGACAAUUUACUCUGAGGGAGAAAAUCCUGUGGGUGUUUAGAAGCUUUACUGAAAGAAGAGAUUUCCCUUAUCCUGUAAAAUGUUGUCUGAGGAUUUCCUUGUGGGGAUCAGAGGGCCAUUUCCCUUGGGAUUGCCAGGCAAUGGCUGAGGCCUGAUGAGUAUUUGUUUCUCCUGUCAUCCAUUCUGAGGGGCAUAAUCCCAAGGAAAUCAGUGGGGAGUUUCAAUAUGGACUUUGAAGGCCAGCUACACCUAAGAACAUAAAGGUGAUUAAGAAAUUAUUCUACUGAAGCUUUCCCAACAAUCUGGGGCUGGCAUUUUUUGAAAAAUAAACCAAAAUAAAAAUGCCUGCCUUUGUUUUUC
rnacentral:lncRNA from 1 species